GCAAUUGUCACUCAGCGGUAGAGUGCUUGCCUAGCAUGCAUGAGGCAAUGAGUUCGAUCCUCAGUACCA
rnacentral:tRNA from 1 species